UACGUAGGUGGCAAGCGUUGUCCGGAUUUAUUGGGUUUAAAGGGUGUGUAGGUGGCGCCGUAAGUCGGGUGUGAAAUUUCGGAGCUUAACUCCGAAACUGCAUUCGAUACUGCGGUGCUUGAGGACUGGAGAGGAGACUGGAAUUCAUGGUGUAGCAGUGAAAUGCGUAGAGAUCAUGAGGAAGACCAGUGGCGAAGGCGGGUCUCUGGACAGUUCCUGACACUGAGACACGAAGGCCAGGGGAGCAAACGGG
rnacentral:rRNA from 1 species